rnacentral:rRNA from 1 species
CCUACGGGAGGCAGCAGUGAGGAAUAUUGGUCAAUGGACGAGAGUCUGAACCAGCGAAGUAGCGUGAAGGAUGACUGACCUAUGGGUUGUACACUUCUUUUAUAAAGUAAUAAAACGAGGCACGUGUGCCUUUUUGCAUGUACUUUAUGAAUAAGGAUCGGCUAACUCCGUGCCAGCAGCCGCGGUAAUACGGAGGAUCCGAGCGUUAUCCGGAUUUAUUGGGUUUAAAGGGAGCGUAGAUGGGUUGUUAAGUCAGUUGUGAAAGUUUGCGGCUCAACCGUAAAAUUGCAAUUGAUACUGGCAGUCGUGAGUACAGUGGAGGUAGGCGGAAUUCGUGGUGUAGCGGUGAAAUGCUUAGAUAUCACGAAGAACCCCGAUUGCGAAGGCAGCUUACUAAACUGUGACUGACAUUGAUGCUCGAAAGUGUGGGUAGCAAACAGGAUUAGAUACCCCAGUAGUC